rnacentral:rRNA from 1 species
GACGAACGCUGGCGGCGUGCUUAACACAUGCAAGUCGAACGGAAAGGCCCUGCUUGCGGGGUGCUCUCGUGUCGAACGGGUGAGUGAAACAUGGGUGAACUGCCCUGCACUUCGGGGUAUGCCUGGGAGACAGGGUCUAAUACAGGGGAGGAGCGCUCUUUCGUGUGGGGGGUGGAAAGUUUUUUUCGUGUGGGGUGAGCUCGCGGGCUAUCAGCUUGGUGGUGGGGUGAUGGCCUACCAAGGCGGGGACGGGUGGGCGGCCUGAGAGGGUGGACGGCCACAUUUGGACUGGGGUACGGCCCAGGCUUCCACGGGAGGCAGCAGGGGGGAAUAUUGCACAAUGGGGGGGAGGCUGAUGCAGCGAAGCCGCGUGGCGGAUUACCGCCUUCGGGGUGUAAACUCGUUUCGGUAGGGACGAAGCCUUGUGUGACGGUACCUAGAUAAGAAGCACCGGCUAACUACGUG